AUUGAACGCUGGCGGCAGGCCUAACACAUGCAAGUCGAGUGGAGCGGCGGACGGGUGAGUAAUGCCUAGGAAUCUGCCUGGUAGUGGGGGAUAACGUCCGGAAACGUGCGCUAAUACCGCAUACUAUCAGAUGAGCCUAGGUCGGAUUAGCUAGUUGGUGGGGUAAAGGCCUACCAAGGCGACGAUCCGUAACUGGUCUGAGAGGAUGAUCAGGACCACUGUAACUGAGACACGGUCCAGACUCCUACGGGAGGCAGCAGUGGGGAAUAUUGGACAAUGGGAGAAAGGCUGUUCCAGCCAUGCCGUGUGUGUGAAGAAGGUCUUCGGAUUGUAAAGCACUUUAAGUUGGGAGGCGUUACCAACAGAAUAAGAAACGGCGAACUUCGUGCCAGCAGCGGCGGUAAUA
rnacentral:rRNA from 1 species